UACGUAGGGGGCAAGCGUUGUCCGGAAUUAUUGGGCGUAAAGAGCGUGUAGGCGGCCAGAUAAGUCCGCUGUGAAAUCUCGAGGCUCAACUUCGAGCUGUCGGUGGAAACUGUCGGGCUCGAGUCCGGAAGAGGAGUGUGGAAUUCCUGGUGUAGCGGUGAAAUGCGCAGAUAUCAGGAGGAACACCAAUGGCGAAGGCAGCACUCUGGGACGUGACUGACGCUGAGACGCGAAAGCGUGGGGAGCAAACAGG
rnacentral:rRNA from 1 species